rnacentral:rRNA from 1 species
AGCGAACGCUGGCGGCGGGCCUAACACAUGCAAGUCGAACGAACUCUUCGGAGUUAGUGGCGGACGGGUGAGUAACACGUGGGAACGUGCCUUUAGGUUCGGAAUAACUCAGGGAAACUUGUGCUAAUACCGAAUGUGCCCUUCGGGGGAAAGAUUUAUCGCCUUUAGAGCGGCCCGCGUCUGAUUAGCUAGUUGGUGAGGUAAAGGCUCACCAAGGCGACGAUCAGUAGUUGGUCUGAGAGGAUGAUCAGCCACAUUGGGACUGAGACACGGCCCAAACUCCUACGGGAGGCAGCAGUGGGGAAUCUUGCGCAAUGGGCGAAAGCCUGACGCAGCCAUGCCGCGUGAAUGAUGAAGGUCUUAGGAUUGUAAAAUUCUUUCACCGGGGACGAUAAUGACGGUACCCGGAGAAGAAGCCCCGGCUAACUUCGUGCCAGCCGCCGCAGUAA